rnacentral:rRNA from 1 species
AGGAGCGGCCCGAUGGCCGAUUAGCUAGUUGGGGAGGUAAAGGCUCACCAAGGCGACGAUCGGUAGCUGGUCUGAGAGGACGACCAGCCACACUGGGACUGAGACACGGCCCAGACUCCUACGGGAGGCAGCAGUGGGGAAUUUUGGACAAUGGGGGCAACCCUGAUCCAGCCAUGCCGCGUGCGGGAUGAAGGCCUUCGGGUUGUAAACCGCUUUUGUCAGGGACGAAAAGGGACUCGCUAAUACCGGGUUCUGCUGACGGUACCUGAAGAAUAAGCACCGGCUAACUAC